AGUGAACGCUGGCGGCGUGCCUAACACAUGCAAGUCGAACGAUGAUGGAUACGCUUGCUCAUCCUGAUUAGUGGCGCACGGGUUAGUAUACCAUAGAUAAUGUACCCCUUAGUUCGGGAUAGCCACUGGAAACGGAGAUUAAAACCGGAUAAUCCUUCUUGCCAUAAGGUAAGGCGGGAAAGUUUUUUCGCUAAGGGAUCAGUCUAUGGCCUAUCAGGUAGUUGGUGAGGUAACGGCUCACCAAGCCUAUGACGGGUAUCUGGUUUGAGAGGAUCAUCAGACACACUGGAACUGAGACACGGUCCAGACUCCUACGGGAGGCAGCAGUGAGGAAUAUUGCAAAAUGGAGGAAACUCUGAUGCAGCAACGCCGCGUGGAGGAUGACGCUUUUCGGUGUGUAAACUCCUUUUAAGAGGGAAGAUUAUGACGGUACCUCUCGAAUAAGCACCGGCUAACUCCGUGCCAGCAGCCGCCGUAAGAC
rnacentral:rRNA from 1 species